rnacentral:sRNA from 1 species
CAUUUAACUUGUACUGGCUUUCAGAAGGAGACUUUGACUUUUUUAAAGAAAUCAGGUCCAUCACUCAAUGAACUCAUUCCUGAUGGUUAUAAUCGAUGUCUUGUAGCUGGCCUUCUUUCCCCAAGAUUUGUUGAUGUUCAGCCUUCCAGUUUAAGCCAAGAAGAACAGUUAGAAGCUAUAUUGUCAGCAGCAAUUCAGACUAGUUCCCUGGGACUUUUGACUGGUUAUAUCCGAAGAUGGAUAACAGAAGAACAACCAAAUUCUGCCACUAAUUUGCGCUUUGUUCUGGAAUGGACGUGGAAUAAAGUGGUUCUCACAAAAGAGGAAUUUGACAGACUAUGUGUGCCAUUAUUUGAUGGUUCGUGUCAUUUCAUGGAUCCACAAACUAUACAGUCUAUCCAGCAGUGCUAUUUGCUUCUUAGCAAUCUUAAUAUAGUCUUGAGCUGUUUUGCAUCAGAAGCCCGAGAGAUCACUGAGAGAGGACUGAUAGACUUAAGCAAUAAGUUUGUGGUUUCCCACCUCAUCUGUCAGUAUGCACAAGUGGUUCUUUGGUUCUCUCAUUCUGGGCUUUUACCAGAAGGCAUAGAUGAUUCUGUGCAGUUGUCAAGGUUAUGCUACAACUACCCUGUAAUUCAGAACUACUACACCAGUCGUCGACAGAAGUUUGAGCGUUUAUCAAGAGGGAAGUGGAAUCCCGAUUGCUUGAUGAUUGAUGGACUGGUUUCUCAGUUAGGAGAGCGAAUUGAGAAGUUGUGGAAACGAGAUGAAGGAGGCACAGGAAAAUAUCCUCCUGCUAGUCUGCAUGCAGUACUUGAUAUGUACCUAUUAGACGGCGUUACUGAAGCAGCCAAACACUCUAUUACCAUUUAUUUGCUACUUGAUAUUAUGUAUUCCUUUCCCAACAAAACAGACACUCCCAUUGAAUCUUUCCCAACUGUAUUUGCCAUUUCUUGGGGCCAAGUUAAACUUAUUCAGGGGUUUUGGUUGAUAGAUCAUAAUGACUAUGAGAGUGGUUUGGAUCUUUUGUUUCAUCCAGCUACUGCAAAACCUUUGUCAUGGCAACAUUCAAAGAUUAUUCAGGCAUUCAUGAGUCAGGGCGAGCACAGACAAGCCCUCAGAUAUAUUCAGACAAUGAAGCCAACAGUGUCCAGUGGUAGCGAUGUUAUCCUUCACCUCACUGUUUUGCUUUUUAAUAGGUGCAUGGUUGAAGCCUGGAAUUUUUUGCGGCAACAUUGCAAUAGGUUGAAUAUAGAGGAGUUACUGAAGCACAUGUAUGAAGUCUGUCAGGAAAUGGGCUUGAUGGAAGAUUUACUGAAGUUACCAUUUACAGACACUGAGCAGGUAAUUACUUACCGAUGUAAACUUGUCAGAAAUUCAAGAUAAAUUGGUAGUUUACAAUCUAUUUUGUUCUUUUUAGGAAUGUUUAGUGAAAUUUUUGCAGUCCAGUGCCAGCGUUCAGAAUCAUGAAUUCCUUUUAGUGCACCAUUUGCAGCGUGCCAAUUAUGUGCCUGCCUUGAAGCUGAACCAAACUCUGAAGAUUAAUGUUAUGAAUGAUCGUGAUCCUCGUUUGCGGGAGAGAUCACUGGCUCGAAAUUCUAUAUUAGACCAGUAUGGAAAAAUCCUUCCUAGAGUCCAUCGAAAAUUAGCCAUUGAACGAGCUAAGCCUUAUCAUCUGUCAACAUCAUCAGUUUUUCGAUUAGUUUCUAGACCCAAACCAUUAUCAGCAGUUCCAAAGCAAGUUGUAACAGGAACUGUGUUGACAAGAUCUGUUUUCAUCAACAAUGUGUUAUCUAAAAUUGGAGAAGUUUGGGCAAGCAAAGAACCUAUAAAUAGCACCACAUCUUUCAAUAGUUCUAAAAUAGAAGAACCAUCUCCUAUAGUGUAUUCGCUCCCAGCUCCAGAGCUGCCUGAGGCAUUUUUUGGAACACCAAUUUCAAAAGCAUCACAAAAAAUUUCUAGAAUGACAAGGAAGGUACUGCAACUACAAGUUUUUAUUUCUGGGCUCCAAAGCAUACUCUACUUUUCUGGUUAUUCUCAGACUGCUAGAUUUGGUUGUUCAGCCUGUCCCCCGGCCUUCUCAGUGUUCGGAGUUUAUUCAGCAAAGCUCCAUGAAAUCUCCUUUGUACCUAGUAUCCGGUUCACUGCCCUCAAGUUCGCAAUUAAAAGGAUCGCCUCAGGCCAUCUCCAGGGCUUCAGAAUUACAUUUGCUUGAAACUCCUCUUGUAGUUAAGAAAGCUAAAAGUUUGGCCAUGUCAGUUACUACUUCUGGAUUUUCUGAGUUCACUCCUCAGUCCAUCCUGAGGUCUACUCUUCGAUCAACACCUUUAGCAUCUCCCUCUCCAUCACCUGGAAGGUCUCCUCAACGACUUAAAGAAACUAGAAUUUCAUUUGUGGAAGAAGAUGUCCACCCAAAAUGGAUUCCUGGGGCUGCAGAUGAUAGCAAAUUAGAAGUAUUUACUACACCUAAAAAAUGUGCAGUUCCAGUGGAAACUGAAUUGCUGAAGAGCAAAGAUAGGACCACAUCUUUUUUCCUGAACAGCCCUGAAAAGGAGCAUCAAGAAAUGGAUGUGGGGUCACAAAGUUUAGAGAAACUGGAUGUGAGCAAAGGAAACAGCAGUGUUUCAAUCACAUCCGAUGAGACUACCUUAGAGUAUCAGGAUGCACCGUCACCGGAAGACCUUGAAGAGACUGUUUUCACGGCCUCUAAGCCCAAAAGCUCUUCCACUGCACUAACUGCUAAUGUAACUGAACAAACUGAAAAGGAUGGAGAUAAAGAUGUAUUUGCAUCAGAAGUAACUCCUUCAGACCUACAGAAACAAAUGGGCAAUUUAGAAGAUGCAGAAACAAAGGAUCUCUUAGUUGCAGCAGAGGCAUUUUCAGAAUUGAAUCACUUAAGCCCGGUUCAAGGAACUGAAGCUUCUCUUUGUGCACCAUCAGUCUAUGAAGGGAAAAUCUUCACCCAGAAGUCACCAGUGUUGGACGAAGGAUUAACAUCUGUUGAAACCUACACCUCUGCAAUUAGAGCAAAUGACAAUAAAUCUAUGGCUGAUGUCCUUGGUGAUGGUGGAAACUCCUCGCUCACUAUCUCUGAAGGUCCUAUUGUCUCUGAGCGCAGGCUUAACCAGGAAGUAGCGCUGAACUUAAAAGAAGAUCAUGAAGUAGAAGUUGGUGUACUAAAAGAAAGUGUUGACUUACCAGAAGAAAAGCUUCCAAUUUCUGACAGCCCUCCUGAUACUCAAGAAAUUCAUGUGAUUGAACAAGAAAAGCUUGAAGCUCAAGAUUCAGGAGAAGAGGCUAGGAAUCUUUCAUUUAAUGAGUUAUAUCCCUCUGGAACACUUAAGCUUCAGUACAAUUUUGAUACUAUUGACCAACAGUUUUGUGACUUAGCUGAUAACAAAGACACUGCUGAAUGUGACAUUGCUGAAGUAGAUGGGGAACUUUUUGUGGCUCAAAGCAACUUUACCUUGAUAUUGGAAGGUGAAGAAGGAGAAGUUGAGCCAGGUGAUUUUGCAUCAUCUGAUGUGUUACCUAAAGCAGCUAACACAGCAACUGAAGAAAAACUUGUAUGCAGUGGGGAAAAUGAUAAUCAUGGACAAGUUGCAAAUUUGCCAUCUGCCGUAACUAGUGACCAAAAGUCCCAAAAAGUAGACACUUUACCAUAUGUGCCUGAACCUAUUAAAGUAGCAAUUGCAGAAAAUUUACUAGAUGUAAUUAAAGACACAAGAAGUAAAGAAAUUACUUCAGAUACAAUGGAACAGUCCAUUCAUGAAACAAUACCUUUAGUGAGCCAAAACAUAAUGUGUCCCACUAAAUUAGUCAAAUCUGCAUUUAAGACUGCUCAGGAAACAAGCACAAUGACUAUGAAUGUCAGCCAGGUUGAUGACGUGGUUUCCUCCAAAACUCGUACGAGAGGUCAACGUAUCCAAAACGUGAAUGUCAAAUCAGCACAACAGGAAGCAUCAGCAGAUGUUGCUACUCCUAAGAUGCCAGGGCAGUCAGUCAGGAAGAAAACUAGGAAGGCAAAAGAAAUUUCUGAAGCUUCUGAAAACAUCUAUUCUGAUGUCAGAGGACUAUCUCAGAACCAGCAAAUACCUCAAACUUCUGGUACGCCUAGGAGAGGAAGGAGAAAGAGAGAAGUUAAUCAGGACGUACUAGAAAACAGCAGUUCUGUGGAACAAGAAUUACAGAUCACUACAGGUAGGGAAUCAAAAAGGUUAAAGUCAUCUCAGCUGUUGGAACCAGCAGUUGAAGAAACUACUAAAAAAGAAGUUAAGGUUUCAUCUGUUACAAAAAGGACUCCUAGAAGAAUUAAAAGAGCUGUAGAAAAUCAGGAAAGUGUUGAAAUUAUAAAUGAUCUAAAAGUUAGUACGGUCACAAGUCCUAGCAGAACGAUCAGAAAAUUGAGAAGUACUAAUUUAGAUGCUUCUGAAAAUACAGGAAAUAAGCAAGAUGAUAAAUCCAGUGACAAGCAGCUGCCUAUUAAACAUAUUAGAAGGGUCAGAGGGAGAGAAGUUAGUCCAUCAGAUGUGAGAGAAGACUCCAACCUUGAGUCAUCUCAGUUGACUGUUCAAGCAGAAUUUGAUAUGUCUGCCAUACCUAGAAAACGUGGUAGACCAAGAAAAAUCAAUCCAUCUGAAGAUGUAGGAUCUAAGGCUGUUAAGGAAGAGAGUAGCCCCAAGAAGAAAGAAGCUCCCAGCAUUAAAAGGAGAUCUACAAGAAAUACCCCAGCUAAAAGUGAAAAUGUUGAUGUUGGAAAACCAGCUUUAGGAAAAUCCAUUUUAGUGCCAAACGAGGAACUUUCGAUGGUGAUGAGCUCUAAGAAAAAACUUACAAAAAAGACUGAAAGUCCAAGCCAAAAACGUUCAUUGCACUCAGUAUCAGAAGAACGCACAGAUGAAAUGACACAUAAAGAAACAAAUGAGCAGGAAGAAAGAUUGCUCGCCACAGCUUCCUUCACUAAAUCAUCCCGCAGCAGCAGGACUCGGUCUAGCAAGGCCAUCUUGUUGCCGGACCUUUCUGAACCGAACAAUGAGCCUUUAUUUUCUCCAGCAUCAGAAGUUCCAAGGAAAGCAAAAGCUAAAAAAAUAGAGGUUCCUGCACAGCUGAAAGAAUUAGUUUCGGAUUUAUCUUCUCAGUUUGUCAUCUCACCUCCUGCUUUAAGGAGCAGACAAAAAAACACAUCCAAUAAGAACAAGCUUGAAGAUGAACUGAAACACAGAAAAAGAAAGUGCUUGGUCACCUCCUCCCAUAGAAAUUCGGCUGAUUUCCCCCUUGGCUAGCCCAGCUGACGGAGUCAAGAGCAAACCAAGAAAAACUACAGAAGUGACAGGAACAGGUCUUGGAAGGAACAGAAAGAAACUGUCUUCCUAUCCAAAGCAAAUUUUACGCAGAAAAAUGCUGUAAUUUCUUGGGAAGUUUUUAAUGUACACCUAUUUGUAAAGUCAUCAGAAUAGUGUGGAUUAUUAAAUAUCUAGUUUGGAAGAAAAUAAUUUAUAUAAAUUAUUGUAAAUUUUUAUGUAAACAGAAGGUCUUCAAUAAGUAAAGUAACUCCAUAUGGAGUGAUUGUUUCAGUCCAGGCAAUUUUUCUAUUUUAUAUUAAGACUUCAUACAUUUAUAUAUGUAAAUAUGGCUUAUUAAUGGAAUGUCAAAUAAAAUGUAUACUUCACAGUUGUUUGUGUCUUGGAUUUUUGAAAGGGAGGGGAUAUCUGUUUAAAUAGUUUUAUAUGCUCAUUGGUCUCAUUUUCUCUAUAAUUAAAAUACUAGACCAGUCUUAAAAUGGGGAUGAUUGAAGUAUUGAUAUUUCUUUUUACAGUUACUAUUUUAUAAUUUAUGCACUUUGAUUCUGUGAUUCAGAUUUCUAAUCAUAAAAUGUAUUUUUUUGUUUUUGGCUGUUACUAUGUUAAAAUUGAAUUAUGGGCAUGUAAUUUUGCCAUCUUUGUAGUUUCACAAAUUUUGUGUAAUCUACCUCAAAUGAAUAAUCCAAGUAUUGGUUAACUAUAAUGUUGGCAUCUCUUAUUCGGCAAGCUUAAAGGCUCUUUAAAGUCUUAAUUCGUCAAAGACUAAUCCAGGUUAGAUUGACCGGUUCACUGCUCACUUGCAACCUUAUCAAAGGGUUUGACAAAGGGAAAUGUAAAAUAAAUCUGUUUAUGGCUAUUGAGUGCAUCUUGUAUGUGCCUAAUAUUGAUAGGAUGAGAUGUCUGAACAAAUUUUUAUAAUAUUGCUGUGAAGGAGCUUGCUACUGAACCACAGAAAUCCCUUAAUAUUCAGGUUUUAAAACUGGCAAAUUCUCACAGGACCUCAGGCACAGAUUAUUGAGGUUGGGAGAGAGUGAGUAGAUGUAGAAAAGGAGAAAAACAACACACGCCCUGUUCUCUACAGUACAACUGUGUGCAAUUAAGCAAUGAUGGUACUUGAUGUAGGCUCUAACACUCAUCAAUAAAUAAGUGUUGUAAAAUAAUUUAUAACAGGUAAUCGAUAGUGUGUAAUGAAUGGACUAUUAAUUGAUUAUCUAGAAACGAACUGCUUUCGUGGGCUAAGCUUUUAAUAUUUUAAUGUGAAGCAUAUGCAGUGUGCUUUCUGCAUUUAUUUUUCUACCAAAUAAUACAGAUAAUGAGAAAUUGGUGAAAAUGCCUACGCCAAGUGUUGACAGUGUGAAAGUAGCAGUGCGAGUGCGGCCUUUUAGUCAGGUUAGUGAUGGAUGUUACGCUGCCUUGUUGAAAAUUUCACUGACUUUGAUUUUAUUACUUUUUUAAUGAUAGUUAUCAAACUUGUAUUUAAGCUGCUUGUCAUUUAUGGAAUAUUGAACUUAUUUAAAUGAACUUGUUAAAUGAAUAAAGAGCUAAACAUAAUUCAGUAAACAAUUCUAUUCCUUUGCACAAGUAGCACUAUAAACAUGGAUGCAACGUAUGUCAAGUUAAUACUUUUUUAAACCAAUGCAAUUUGGUGAAUAUAGAUGUGUGGUACCUGUUUUUAAUAAAUGUACUUUUUCCCCCCCUCUGUGAAUGUAGAUCAUAAGCAAACAAAUUGCCUGUUCUAAAUGAACUUUACAUAUAUUUUAAAUGAAUGUAUGUACUUACGUAUAAAUGUCUUUAUAUAGCUUGAAUAAAAACACUGCUCAUUAAGA